rnacentral:rRNA from 1 species
CCUACGGGGGGCUGCAGUGGGGAAUAUUGGACAAUGGGCGAAAGCCUGAUCCAGCCAUGCCGCGUGUGUGAAGAAGGCCUUCGGGUUGUAAAGCACUUUCAGUGGGGAAGAAAGCCUUGGGGCUAAUACCCUCGAGGAAGGACAUCACCCACAGAAGAAGCACCGGCUAACUCCGUGCCAGCAGCCGCGGUAAUACGGAGGGUGCGCGCGUUAAUCGGAAUUACUGGGCGUAAAGCGCGCGUAGGCGGUCUGAUAAGCCGGUUGUGAAAGCCCCGGGCUCAACCUGGGAACGGCAUCCGGAACUGUCAGGCUAGAGUGCAGGAGAGGAAGGUAGAAUUCCCGGUGUAGCGGUGAAAUGCGUAGAGAUCGGGAGGAAUACCAGUGGCGAAGGCGGCCUUCUGGACUGACACUGACGCUGAGGUGCGAAAGCGUGGGUAGCAAACAGGAUUAGAUACCCCUGUAGUC